UACGAAGGGGGCUAGCGUUGCUCGGAAUCACUGGGCGUAAAGCGCACGUAGGCGGAUUGCUAAGUCAGGGGUGAAAUCCUGGAGCUCAACUCCAGAACUGCCCUUGAUACUGGCGGUCUCGAGUCCGGGAGAGGUGAGUGGAACUGCGAAGUGUAGAGGUGAAAUUCGUAGAUAUUCGCAAGAACACCAGUAGCGAAGGCGGCACUCUGGGCCGGUACUGGACGCUGAGGAGCGAAAGCGUGGGGAGCGAACAGG
rnacentral:rRNA from 1 species